GGCUAUGAAAAACUUAACGUCCUGUGGAUGUAGUUAAGUUGAUCUAACCCCGCACUGUAGAAGCAGCUAGAUCAAGGGAAGAAUUCUUCCCUUGAUCUAGCUGCCAUCUCUCUCAAAAAUGGAUUCGCUACGUUGAUGGAAAAAACCCUUCUGUUGAUGUAGGAUGUGUUUAUGCUACAGCAGUGCACUGUAUGAUAGUCAUACACUAAGUAAGUGGCUUAUGGUCACACAGGAAGCAUCUGAGAGAGUAAGAAUUGGACUUCUGGUCUCCUAAGUCCAAGAACCCUAACCACUGAAACACUGUCAUGAAAGCAUCUGUAGAGCUCUCAGCAGGGAUUUCAUGCGUCUGCUUCCACUUUCUAAAAUAUAAAUAGAUGCAAUAAUACUUCCAAAACUUACUGUGUAUUUUCCAUUGAAUAGUUCAUGUCUCUCAUCAGUUUUCAUUUCACCUGAAACUUUUCUAAUAUUCUUGAUCAGUGGUUCUCAAACUUUUGCACUGGGGGACCUCUUUCACACAGCAAGCCUCUGAGUGCCCCCCCUUAUAAAUUAAAACUACAUUUUUAUAUUUAACACUUUUAUAAAUGCUGGAGGCAAAGUGCGGUUUAGGUUGGAGGCUGACAGCUCAUUACCCCCCAUGUAAUAACCUCACGAUCCCCAGUUUGAGAACCCUUGUUCCUUAUACAUUUAAAUUCCAUCUGAAAUGUAGAGGUCUAGCUUUGCUUUCAAAUUCUAGAUGACCUUUCAUCAGUUGAACAUAAUCCAACUCUAUUGCUAUCUACUUUUGAGAGAGUUAAUGUUCUCAGCUUCCUUUUUUAGCUUACAAUUUCUUAUGAAAUUUUGCCAAUGCUGUACAUAUUUUCACAAUUAAAUACAUGAUUAAGCUAGUAGGGGGUGACUUUCUUCCAUCUUUGCCCCACCAGGGGGCUCAAUGUCCUGAGAUCCCCAUGUACAUGCUGGUGAAGCUCUUAUCACUUUCUGUCAUUGUCUUGUGACUAAAGCAUAGGACUAGGAGAAAGGAAUUCUGGGUUUAAUUUCCAAAAGCUCUGCCACCACUUUGUAUCACCUUGAAACAGAAUGGUUAGUGACUUGGCCUAUUUCCCUGUCUCACAAAUUGUAUUGUCUUAACAGUUGUGUGUAAAGCAUUCUUAGUUAUUUCGAUGGAAGGAACUCUGAAAGUCUUUGUGUUUAUAAAAGAAAAAUUGCUUUAUUACUGCUUUGGCUGCCAAUGGAGUAUCCCAUACAGCUGCACUAUUCAACUAUCUAUAGAACCAGUUUUAAAUACAGCAUGUUAAAAAUGCAAUGGUUUUUAAACCGUAAUUAUCCACGAUCACAUAUGGUCACCUCUUCGAGCUCCCAUUAGGAACCAUCCUUUGCCCACAUAAAAUGACUCUGAAAAGUGUUAGAUAUUGUAAAAGUAUUUUUAACUCAUAAUCAGAAGGUUGAAAUGAAUCUGUUAACUUUCUAGUCAGUUUUUCCUCUAUUCUAAAUGUAUGCUCUAGUUUGGUAUUACAGGAUUGAUUGUGCUGGUGGCGUCUCUUUUUUUUUAAAAGGAAAACCAAGUUUAAUAUCAAAAAAGCUCUCUGUUGAUCAUUAGGACAGUGUGAUAUAAAUGUUUUAAUAAAAAAAAAAGGCACCUUGAAUGUGGAACUUCCCUACUGGAAUAGAUCAGUAGAGCCCUGUACAGAUACGAAAUUUGUAUCCAUAUCCCAUCCGUGGAUAUAAAGCAGAUAUCCGCAGAUUUGUAGGGCUCUAGAUACAAAAUUUAUAUUCACAUGUGAUCUGCGAUCUGCAAAAAUGGUCUGUGGAUAUAAAUCCGCAGAUUUUCAGGGCUCUAUAGAUCAAUCAGGCCAAGACCAAACCUGACAAUGUUCAGAGUACAAAGCAAAAAAACAUAUAUAAGGGGUGAAUAGGAGGGAAUUAAAAUAAAAGCUGAAAGGAGUAGAGAUGAAGUACAGGAUCUUUUACAGACAAAUUAAUGUGUCUCAAUGUAUAUGGGACUUAGAUUCUACUCUUUUUAGGGAUUUUUAAUGUGACCAUCACCUAGAUAUCAGAGUACAGUACAUUUACAUAAAGUAGACAGCGAGACUGCAUUUCCUGCUCUUUUCCCUUACUACAAUGAUAGGCAUGUUAGAAAUGUCUGACACAGACAGAUGGAAAAAUAUUUUACAGUUUGUUUUAGAAUUGUUUCUGAUUGUUGAUUCUUCAGAUAUGUUGCUGAGAAUUAGGUUGGGUUUUUAUUUUUUGGUAGAUCUUGAUAUCCUCUGGUAACGAACAGGGGGGGUGUUGCUGGUUUCAGAAUUUUUCUAUGGCAUUGAGUAAGCAUUCUACAACAACAGUGAUAGACACACUCCAAGACACCAAGAGAAAUACAGGGAGAAGAGAAAAUACUUGGUGGUCAAGAGGAGUACUUCUGAAUAAAGGAAAGGAAUCUUAUGUUCUUAGAGAAGCCUAUAACACAUGACCAUAGAUGGCACCUAAACCACUUGGGAAGUGGGAAAAGUAUGGAAAAAGAUACUGUCGAGAUUGGGAAAGGGAAACUGGAUUAAAAGAAUGGAUUCGAAGUGUACCAGGAGAUGACACAAAGGCAGCAUGCAAAUACUGCGCAUGUGAAAUCAGAGCCCAUCAUAGUGAUUUGGUUGCACACAGUAAAACAAAAAAGCACAAGAGACAUGUUGCUUUAUUUUCACAUUCUUCUGAUAUGAAAAAACAUUCAUUUGAAUUUGAAGUUGAAAACCAAAAUUCAUUUGAUGAUGAUAUCACGCAAGCCAAAAUGGAUCAAUCUGUAAAUGUGUGCGCACUGAAGCUAGCGGCACACAUAGCUUGCCAUAUGAGCAUUUUCACAGUGGAUCACCUAGGCUGCAUUGUUGGAGGGAUAGCAGAGAAGGAUAUUAGUCUGCAUAGAACAAAAUGUUCCACACUGAUUAGAAAUGUCAUUGGUCCUACUGUACACAAAGAACUUCUCAGAGACAUUGGCAAUGGACACUACUCGUUGAUCAUUGAUGAAAGUACAGAUGUAUCAGCACAAAAGCAACUUUGCUUGAUAGUAAGAUACUUCAGCAACAAGCUUAAAUGUAUUGUAUCAUCCUUUGCAGGGAUCAUUAACUUAACUAGAAGUGGUACUAUCACAGAAGCACUCUUGACAUUUCUAAAUGACAACAAGCUGAACAUAAAAAGGUGUGUUGGGAUUGCUGCUGAUGGUUUCAAUACAAGCUUAUGUGGAAAUAAAAAUUCAUUGCUCAAAAAGUUUUAUGAACUCAAUCCUUGUGGAGUUUUCAUCAAAUAUGUAAGUUACUCUCUCUAUUUGUGUUCUUCAAAAGCCAUUGAUGUGCUUCCAUUGAACAUAGAGUACAUGGUUUCACGGACAUACUUGUGGUUUUCCCAUAGCACUUUCCACCAGAAGAGGUACCAUGAACUGUAUGCUGCCAUCAGUGUUGGAGAGAAUUUCCUGAAAAUACUGCAGCUUACUGAGACAAGAUGGCUGUCCAUUAGCCCUUGUAUUAACAGAGUACUUGAUCAGUAUGAAGCUCUGAUGUUGCACUUUCAGUCUAUAAGAGACAAUGAAAGGGACUACAGUGCUGAGCUUCUCUAUCAAAUGUAUUCUGACCCAGUAAAUAGACUCUAUCUUGUUUUUCUGCAGCCUCUUAUUGAGGAAGCUAACAGGAUCAACAAGUUAUUUCAAUUUGAAACAGUUAAUCCAGUUAACCUUAUUGCUGAAUUAAUGCUGUUCUAUCAGAAUUUGGUACAAAGAGUCAUGAAACCUUGUGUCUUUACAACAUGGUCAUCCAUUGUAAAUUAUGACAUUCACUGUAACAGGAACUACAUGCCUCUUUCAGAGGUUAACUUUGGAUCAGCGUUCCUAUCAGAAUUAAUAAAUGCAAAUCUUUCCUCACAUACAGUAGAUACCAUCCAAAGCAGAUGUCGAGAUUGUAUCCUUGAGUUUGCUAAGCAAAUAAAGCUCCGACUGCCUCCAAAUGUCCAUCAUCUAGAAUCUCUCAGCGCUCUGAGCCCUUCAGUUGUUCUCAGUCCUACAAAACCUGAAUUCUCAACCCUGUCUUUUUUGUCCUUGUGUAGAGGGGAUCAUAUCAAGUUGAAACAGCAAUGGAGAAAUCUGGAUGCAGUCUCAUGGACGAACACAGAAGAUAGCCAAAUAGAACAGUUCUGGAUAGAAGUUGCAAAACACACAGAUGAAGUUGGUGAUAAGGAUUUUGUUGAACUAGGAUUAUUUGCCCUUGCCCUUCUCACCUUACCCUUCAGCACUGCAGCUGUGGAGUGUACAAUCUCACAAAUGAACUUGAUAAAAACCAAGUUAAAGAACAGACUGCAGGACAGCCUACUUGAAAAUAUCUUAAGGAUCAGGGCCUAUAUGCACCGAAAUAAGAUUUGCUGCAACCAGUUUCAGCCAUCCAAAGAGAUGAUAUCUUUGUUUAAUAAUGAGUUUUAUGCAAUUGCUAAUAGCAAGGAUGCUACAGAUGACUCUGAGGAGGAUAUAUUUUGAAAAGACUCAAGUGAAGAGGAUCUCUUUUAGAAAAGCACUUGGCUUCAUGUGGUAUUCUGAUGAGCAGAAUUCCUCAAAUGCAAGCAUCUGUAACAAACCGUACCUUCGCAAGAAGAACUUUCUUCAACAUUGCUUCACCAUUCGGAAACAAAAGAAAAGAAUAUUCUGAGAGAAGAAUUAUAGGGAUUGGGAUCUUAGCUCUCGAAUGCAAGGGACUAAUAGCAGCAGCUUGACAGAACAGACGGUGGGUAUUCCAUGCAGGAAAUGUAUGAAGUGGUAGCUGUUGUGGAGGACUACAAACUCUUUGUUCCUUGGUGUAAAAAGUCAGACAUAUUAUCCAAACGUUCUGGGUACUGCAAAGCCCACUUAGAAAUAGGAUUUCCUCCUGUGGUAGAGAAGUAUACAUCAGUUGUUACCCUAGUGAGACCUCACUUGGUUAAG